AGCGAACGCUGGCGGCGUACUUAACACAUGCAAGUCGAACGAGGAUCGCUACGUGAGCAAUCAUGCGGCGGUUCUAGUGGCGUACGGGUGAGUAACACGUGGGCAACCUGCCCUGGAGCCUGGGAUACCCUCUCGAAAGGGAGGCUAAUACCGGAUACGUUCCCCGGGUCGCGAGAUCUGGGGAGGAAAGGUGGCGCAAGCUGCCGCUCUUGGAGGGGCUCGCGGCCUANCAGCUAGUUGGUGAGGUAAUGGCUCACCAAGGCUAUGACGGGUAGCUGGUCUGAGAGGACGACCAGCCACACGGGGACUGAGACACGGCCCCGACUCCUACGGGAGGCAGCAGUGGGGAAUUUUCCGCAA
rnacentral:rRNA from 1 species